UAACUUUGGAGUUGGCUCUUGUCUAUGUUCCUUGGAACAGGACGUCACAGAGGGUGAGAAUCCCGUGCGAUGAGAUGCCCAAUUCUAUGUAAAGUGCUUUCGAAGAGUCUAGUUGUUUGGGAAUGCAGCUCUAAGUGGGUGGUAAAUUCCAUCUAAAGCUAAAUAUUGGCGAGAGACCGAUAGCGAACAAGUACAGUGAUGGAAAGAUGAAAAGAACUUUGAAAAGAGAGUGAAAAAGUACGUGAAAUUGUUGAAAGGGAAGGGCUUGAGAUCAGACUUGGUAUUUUGCGAUCCUUUCCUUCUUGGUUGGGUUCCUCGCAGCUUACUGGGCCAGCAUCGGUUUGGAUGGUAGGAUAAUGACUAAGGAAUGUGGCUCUACUU
rnacentral:rRNA from 1 species